rnacentral:rRNA from 1 species
UACGAAGGGGGCGAGCGUUGUUCGGAUUUACUGGGCGUAAAGGGCGCGCAGGCGGUCCUGUUUGUCGAGUGUGAAAGCCCCGGGCUCAACCUGGGAAUGGCAUUGGAAACUGGCGGGCUUGAGUGUGGCAGAGGGGGGUGGAAUUCCGCGUGUAGCAGUGAAAUGCGUAGAGAUGCGGAGGAACACCGAUGGCGAAGGCAGCCCCCUGGGCUAACACUGACGCUCAGGCACGAAAGCGUGGGGAGCAAACAGG